CCUACGGGAGGCAGCAGUGGGGAAUAUUGGACAAUGGGCGAAAGCCUGAUCCAGCCAUGCCGCGUGUGUGAAGAAGGCCUUCGGGUUGUAAAGCACUUUCAGUGGGGAAGAAAGCCUUGGGGCUAAUACCCUCGAGGACUGACAUCACCCACAGAAGAAGCACCGGCUAACUCCGUGCCAGCAGCCGCGGUAAUACGGAGGGUGCGAGCGUUAAUCGGAAUUACUGGGCGUAAAGCGCGCGUAGGCGGUCUGAUAAGCCGGUUGUGAAAGCCCCGGGCUCAACCUGGGAACGGCAUCGGAAACUGGCAGGCUAGAGUGCAGGAGAGGAAGGUAGAAUUCCCGGUGUAGCGGUGAAAUGCGUAGAGAUCGGGAGGAAUACCAGUGGCGAAGGCGGCCUUCUGGACCGACACUGACGCUGAGGUGCGAAAGCGUGGGUAGCAAACAGGAUUAGAUACCCCGGUAGUC
rnacentral:rRNA from 1 species